rnacentral:rRNA from 2 species
UUAAGUUAUUAAGGGCGCACGGUGGAUGCCUUGGCACUAGAAGCCGAUGAAGGACGUUACUAACGACGAUAUGCUUUGGGGAGCUGUAAGUAAGCUUUGAUCCAGAGAUUUCCGAAUGGGGAAACCCAGCAUGAGUUAUGUCAUGUUAUCGAUAUGUGAAUACAUAGCAUAUCAGAAGGCACACCCGGAGAACUGAAACAUCUUAGUACCCGGAGGAAGAGAAAGAAAAUUCGAUUCCCUUAGUAGCGGCGAGCGAAAUGGGAAGAGCCCAAACCAAAAAGCUUGCUUGUUGGGGUUGUAGGACACUCUAUACGGAGUUACAAAGGACGACAUUAGACGAAUCAUCUGGAAAGAUGAAUCAAAGAAGGUAAUAAUCCUGUAGUCGAAAAUGUUGUCUCUCUUGAGUGGAUCCUGAGUACGACGGAGCACGUGAAAUUCCGUCGGAAUCUGGGAGGACCAUCUCCUAAGGCUAAAUACUCUCUAGUGACCGAUAGUGAACCAGUACCGUGAGGGAAAGGUGAAAAGCACCCCGGAAGGAGAGUGAAAUAGAACCUGAAACCGUGUGCUUACAAGUAGUCAGAGCCCGUUAAUGGGUGAUGGCGUGCCUUUUGUAGAAUGAACCGGCGAGUUACGAUUUGAUGCAAGGUUAAGCAGUAAAUGUGGAGCCGUAGCGAAAGCGAGUCUGAAUAGGGCGUUUAGUAUUUGGUCGUAGACCCGAAACCAGGUGAUCUACCCUUGGUCAGGUUGAAGUUCAGGUAACACUGAAUGGAGGACCGAACCGACUUACGUUGAAAAGUGAGCGGAUGAACUGAGGGUAGCGGAGAAAUUCCAAUCGAACCUGGAGAUAGCUGGUUCUCUCCGAAAUAGCUUUAGGGCUAGCCUCAAGUGAUGAUUAUUGGAGGUAGAGCACUGUUUGGACGAGGGGCCCCUCUCGGGUUACCGAAUUCAGACAAACUCCGAAUGCCAAUUAAUUUAACUUGGGAGUCAGAACAUGGGUGAUAAGGUCCGUGUUCGAAAGGGAAACAGCCCAGACCACCAGCUAAGGUCCCAAAAUAUAUGUUAAGUGGAAAAGGAUGUGGCGUUGCCCAGACAACUAGGAUGUUGGCUUAGAAGCAGCCAUCAUUUAAAGAGUGCGUAAUAGCUCACUAGUCGAGUGACACUGCGCCGAAAAUGUACCGGGGCUAAACAUAUUACCGAAGCUGUGGAUUGUCCUUUGGACAAUGGUAGGAGAGCGUUCUAAGGGCGUUGAAGCAUGAUCGUAAGGACAUGUGGAGCGCUUAGAAGUGAGAAUGCCGGUGUGAGUAGCGAAAGACGGGUGAGAAUCCCGUCCACCGAUUGACUAAGGUUUCCAGAGGAAGGCUCGUCCGCUCUGGGUUAGUCGGGUCCUAAGCUGAGGCCGACAGGCGUAGGCGAUGGAUAACAGGUUGAUAUUCCUGUACCACCUAUAAUCGUUUUAAUCGAUGGGGGGACGCAGUAGGAUAGGCGAAGCGUGCGAUUGGAUUGCACGUCUAAGCAGUAAGGCUGAGUAUUAGGCAAAUCCGGUACUCGUUAAGGCUGAGCUGUGAUGGGGAGAAGACAUUGUGUCUUCGAGUCGUUGAUUUCACACUGCCGAGAAAAGCCUCUAGAUAGAAAAUAGGUGCCCGUACCGCAAACCGACACAGGUAGUCAAGAUGAGAAUUCUAAGGUGAGCGAGCGAACUCUCGUUAAGGAACUCGGCAAAAUGACCCCGUAACUUCGGGAGAAGGGGUGCUCUUUAGGGUUAACGCCCAGAAGAGCCGCAGUGAAUAGGCCCAAGCGACUGUUUAUCAAAAACACAGGUCUCUGCUAAACCGUAAGGUGAUGUAUAGGGGCUGACGCCUGCCCGGUGCUGGAAGGUUAAGAGGAGUGGUUAGCUUCUGCGAAGCUACGAAUCGAAGCCCCAGUAAACGGCGGCCGUAACUAUAACGGUCCUAAGGUAGCGAAAUUCCUUGUCGGGUAAGUUCCGACCCGCACGAAAGGCGUAACGAUUUGGGCACUGUCUCAACGAGAGACUCGGUGAAAUCAUAGUACCUGUGAAGAUGCAGGUUACCCGCGACAGGACGGAAAGACCCCGUGGAGCUUUACUGUAGCCUGAUAUUGAAAUUCGGCACAGCUUGUACAGGAUAGGUAGGAGCCUUUGAAACGUGAGCGCUAGCUUACGUGGAGGCGCUGGUGGGAUACUACCCUAGCUGUGUUGGCUUUCUAACCCGCACCACUUAUCGUGGUGGGAGACAGUGUCAGGCGGGCAGUUUGACUGGGGCGGUCGCCUCCUAAAAGGUAACGGAGGCGCUCAAAGGUUCCCUCAGAAUGGUUGGAAAUCAUUCAUAGAGUGUAAAGGCAUAAGGGAGCUUGACUGCGAGACCUACAAGUCGAGCAGGGUCGAAAGACGGACUUAGUGAUCCGGUGGUUCCGCAUGGAAGGGCCAUCGCUCAACGGAUAAAAGCUACCCCGGGGAUAACAGGCUUAUCUCCCCCAAGAGUUCACAUCGACGGGGAGGUUUGGCACCUCGAUGUCGGCUCAUCGCAUCCUGGGGCUGUAGUCGGUCCCAAGGGUUGGGCUGUUCGCCCAUUAAAGCGGUACGCGAGCUGGGUUCAGAACGUCGUGAGACAGUUCGGUCCCUAUCCGUCGUGGGCGUAGGAAAUUUGAGAGGAGCUGUCCUUAGUACGAGAGGACCGGGAUGGACAUACCUCUGGUGUACCAGUUGUCGUGCCAACGGCAUAGCUGGGUAGCUAUGUGUGGACGGGAUAAGUGCUGAAAGCAUCUAAGCAUGAAGCCCCCCUCAAGAUGAGAUUUCCCAACUUCGGUUAUAAGAUCCCUCAAAGAUGAUGAGGUUAAUAGGUUCGAGGUGGAAGCAUGGUGACAUGUGGAGCUGACGAAUACUAAUCGAUCGAAGACUUAAUCAA